CCCUUCUAGGUUAUUCAGCUGGUCUAAAAAUUAAAUUGAAAUAAGAUAGAUUAAAGGAGAAAAAAAUGCAAUUUCAUACACACAGGAGACCCAAAGACAUGAGGCUCAAAUAAGUGACCAAAGUAGGUAGAUUUUAUACCUUUUAGGCAAAGAAACAAUAAAUUUAUGAAGAAUUGACAAGGCAAAGAAGUUUGGGCUUGGGGUAGUAAAUUAGCGAGGAAGUAAUGAGGUUUGUUUAUAUAGCCUUCUAGGCCUUGAGUUCCCUAUCUCUGGUGAUAAGGAUGCCUUCUACCCUCCUAGUAUAGGAAGGAUGAUUCACACGAGAGAUUUAUUUCCUGCUUUCAGGGGGACAAAGAAAGAUCAGGGUGUCCUUCUUGCAUCAGCUGUUUCUCAAAUAACUUGAAUUUUAAAUGAUCAAUUUGCCAAAAGGGCAUAUUUUGGGGUGGCAUAUUCUACUCCCCUUCAGCAUAAACUUGUGAAGUAACUCCUCCAAAUUGGGGAAUGUAGGACACCUGAAUAGGGACAGCCAGGAGUACAGACGAAUGCUAAAUGAUCCAGAGUGUAGGCAGCAUUGCAAGUGUUUUACUAUUCUUUUUUGCUUGUACUACUUUGCUUUUCUUCUUUAUCUUCUUUAGCAAGUGCCUUGGAGUGCACAUCUGGGAACUCUUGGAAGAGUUGGGAAUGAUCCCUGAAGAAUGAUGCUUGGGCAACUGAGCAAAAGAAAGCUGAGAGCAUCAGAAUGAGUGGCAGGUUCUGGAAGUGGAAAAGAAAAAAACAACGUUUGGGAAAAGAAAAUGUGGAAAAUGUCAAGGAAGAGGUACUUGACUUCAUUCAUUCAUCACUUCAACAAGUAUUUUAAAUAAUUCAGUAAGUGUGGCACUGAGCUAAGAACUAUUAGAGGUGGGGUGGAGAGAUGAUGGGGAAGGAAAUAGAAAAUAAGUUUAAAACAUAGUCCCUGAUCAAGGGGCUACAAUUUAAUAAAAGAUGACAAUUAAAUACA
rnacentral:lncRNA from 1 species